GUAGGUGGCAAGCGUUGUCCGGAAUUAUUGGGCGUAAAGCGCGCGCAGGCGGUUCUUUAAGUCUGAUGUGAAAGCCCACGGCUCAACCGUGGAGGGUCAUUGGAAACUGGAGAACUUGAGUACAGAAGAGGAAAGCGGAAUUCCACGUGUAGCGGUGAAAUGCGUAGAGAUGUGGAGGAACACCAGUGGCGAAGGCGGCUUUCUGGUCUGUAACUGACGCUGAGGCGCGAAAGCGUGGGGAGCAAACAGGGAUUAGAUACCCUGAUAGUCCACGCCGUAAACGAUGAGUGCUAAGUGGUUAGGGGGGUUUCCCGCCCCCCUUAGUGCUGCAGUUAACGCAUUAAGCACUCCGCCUGGGGAGUACGGCCGCAAGGCUG
rnacentral:rRNA from 1 species